UGUACGUUUCUUUGCUACUCCCACAUGUAUGCUUUUCUUUCUCUUUCAACAUAUUCCUUAGCAAAGCGCACACAAGAAAAGGCAUCAGAGAAACGAUCCAUAACAAGACCAAUUCGAAAUCAGAAGAACAGAACUUGAAAAAUAUGAUCACGUAGCAGCAAACAACCUUGUCAAUGUUUCUUCUUGGGGCUUAGUGUUCUGGAAGUGGAAGCUGGGCUUGAUAUCUCCUUAAAUGCCGACGGGCAGAAUUCACUUACCGUGCAUUUUGCACAGCGAGGUCUCAGAGGAGUACAUAUGGUCUGUCCAAAGCCUACCUGUAAAGGCCAUAGCCACAAAACUGAAGUGACAAAUAACCAGAGAGGAAGGAACAGAUGUAGAAAGUAAAUUAUGGGUUCAUCAUUCAUCCGAAUGCGGUAGAUUUGGCUUGGAUCCCGUAAUUCACUAAGUACAAAUAAUUCAUUCUGAAACUAGUAAAUCAAAUGAAUUGUAGUAGAAUUCGAAAGUCAAACUCAGAAAGUUCAAAUUGUGGAUUCGCCUAUGAGAGAGGAGAGAAAAUUCAUAUUCAGCUGACUUGUCCUUACUUUGACCAGUCGAAUAUUGGAGGCGAAGUUAGUAUUUGAAAAUUUUGUUGUAAAAGUUAGUCAAAGUGUUACCUUAAUAACAAAUGAAUAUUGGAGAAACAUUGAAGACCAGGAAAAUAGUUUCUCUUCUAGGGAGCAGAUAUGAUUAUUGGGUAACCCAAUACAUGAUGUAUUGAUGUGGGCCAGACAAUUUACGUUUUUUAUUUGUGGAAAUAGUUGAAGGAGAGUUUUGCGCGCCAGAAAAUCAACUUGUGUUAUCCACAGCAACGAUUAGAAAACCCAUUCGUUCGACCUGGAUGGGAAGAUCGGGCAUGAAACUGAAGUAAGGGAUGACUCAUACUACAUAGAAUAAAAGAUUUCAAUCUAUUGCCUAUUUCCACCUAUUGAGUGCAGGUCCAGAGACACCUCAAAAGCUGAAGCAUAAACAUUACUCUAGCUCUAGGUUGCAAAUCAAAAUUUUUGAGAAAUUUGAGGCUGAUCGAGCAUUGA